UCAAGCCUGGCCGGCCGGCCUACAAUUGCAAGUCGAGCGGUAGCACAGAGAGCUUGCUCUCGGGUGACGAGCGGCGGACGGGUGAGUAAUGUCUGGGAAACUGCCUGAUGGAGGGGGAUAACUACUGGAAACGGUAGCUAAUACCGCAUAACGUCGCAAGACCAAAGUGGGGGACCUUCGGGCCUCAUGCCAUCAGAUGUGCCCAGAUGGGAUUAGCUGGUAGGUGGGGUAACGGCUCACCUAGGCGACGAUCCCUAGCUGGUCUGAGAGGAUGACCAGCCACACUGGAACUGAGACACGGUCCAGACUCCUACGGGAGGCAGCAGUGGGGAAUAUUGCACAAUGGGCGCAAGCCUGAUGCAGCCAUGCCGCGUGUGUGAAGAAGGCCUUCGGGUUGUAAAGCACUUUCAGCGGGGAGGAAGGCGGUGAGGUUAAUAACCUCAUCGAUUGACGUUACCCGCAGAAGAAGCACCGGCUAACUCCUUGCCAGCAGCCGCGGUAAUACGGAGGGUGCAAGCGUUAAUCGGAAUUACUGGGCGUAAAGCGCACGCAGGCGGUCUGUCAAGUCGGAUGUGAAAUCCCCGGGCUCAACCUGGGAACUGCAUUCGAAACUGGCAGGCUAGAGUCUUGUAGAGGGGGGUAGAAUUCCAGGUGUAGCGGUGAAAUGCGUAGAGAUCUGGAGGAAUACCGGUGGCGAAGGCGGCCCCCUGGACAAAGACUGACGCUCAGGUGCGAAAGCGUGGGGAGCAAACAGGAUUAGAUACCCUGGUAGUCCACGCUGUAAACGAUGUCGAUUUGGAGGUUGUGCCCUUGAGGCGUGGCUUCCGGAGCUAACGCGUUAAAUCGACCGCCUGGGGAGUACGGCCGCAAGGUUAAAACUCAAAUGAAUUGACGGGGGCCCGCACAAGCGGUGGAGCAUGUGGUUUAAUUCGAUGCAACGCGAAGAACCUUACCUGGUCUUGACAUCCACAGAACUUAGCAGAGAUGGUUUGGUGCCUUCGGGAACUGUGAGACAGGUGCUGCAUGGCUGUCGUCAGCUCGUGUUGUGAAAUGUUGGGUUAAGUCCCGCAACGAGCGCAACCCUUAUCCUUUGUUGCCAGCGGUUCGGCCGGGAACUCAAAGGAGACUGCCAGUGAUAAACUGGAGGAAGGUGGGGAUGACGUCAAGUCAUCAUGGCCCUUACGACCAGGGCUACACACGUGCUACAAUGGCAUAUACAAAGAGAAGCGACCUCGCGAGAGCAAGCGGACCUCAUAAAGUAUGUCGUAGUCCGGAUUGGAGUCUGCAACUCGACUCCAUGAAGUCGGAAUCGCUAGUAAUCGUAGAUCAGAAUGCUACGGUGAAUACGUUCCCGGGCCUUGUACACACCGCCCGUCACACCAUGGGAGUGGGUUGCAAAAGAAGUAGGUAGCUUAACCUUCGGGAGGGCGCUUACCACU
rnacentral:rRNA from 1 species